GUUGGCAUUUUAAUUAUGUUUUAGCUUUAAACUUGUCCAAAAUUGCUUAAAAGGUGACAAAUAUAUUUAUCUACAAAUCGACAAAUUAAUUUUCACACAACUGGUAAGUUUUAUCUAAAUACACAAUAACCGACCCUCGUAUAUAAUUUCAAACCACCCUCGUAUACAAAGAUUUAGUGUUGGCGCACUUGAUUUCCACUAAAUACGUCACUAAAGUCACCAGAUUAUUGAUUUUCUUGAACUACAAAUACGGGGGCAGUUUUAAAAAUGUUUGAAAUCUUAACUUUGUGGUGUACAAGUGGCUUGCAGGACAAUUUUUCUAGUCUCAACACUCAGUGUGUCCACGUGUUAGAGGGCUGUUUGAAAAAUAAAUAAUUUUCGAUUUUUAAAAUGGAUUAAAAUUAAUGGCGGGGACAAUAAUUUUUGGGGCGCCCUCAUAUAAAAUGUUUUAAAGUUGGCAGACUUUGUUUCCACUAAAACGUCACAAACGUCACAUACGUCCCGAUUAUCGAUUUUCCAAUACGGGGGCGUUCUAAAAGUUAUUAAAAUUCUGGCUUUGGGCUGAAUAAGUGGUUUACAGGACAUUUUUAUAUUCUCAACACCUUUGUUACACGCAGUGUGUGCACGCUGUUUGAAAAAAAUGUAAUUUUCUAUUUUUAAAGUGGCUUAAAUUUAGUGGCGGGCGCUGAAAUUUUUGAGGCGCCCUCGUAUACGGUGCAAAUUUGUCCGAACACGUGUACUUUUUUUGACAGGUACGUCAACUGUUGCGUGAGAGCGGCAGUUUUCGGGCGGCGGCCGGAGCGGUCGGACGUGUGUCUGUGCGUGCGUCUUGUUCGUUAAAUUAUUAAAUAAAUUAUUAAACCGCGACCGCGACACGAAUUAAUUAAAGUGAUUCUGUGCUGUGCUGUGUUGUGCUGCGAAAUUUUAAGGAUAUUUUGUACAAGGGACGAUUUAACCGCAAACAUUUUUAUCACAUGUUGCUUCCACCUUCAAGGGUCGCCCAACACGAAUGCAAAGAUUGUAUUAAACAGUCGUCAAAUGUGCUAACCAUUGCAAUUUCCACUUGGAGUUAUGAAUUUUGAGACCUCAAGAGCUGGUGUCUGUGUUGGAUUGCUUUACUGACUGGUUGCAGCGGGCCUGCAGGAUUCGGAGGAUUUCAAAGGCAUUCUUCAUCAGGUUCUUCAGAAAUUAUUUUUUAACUGACAAUAAUUAUCAUUAAACGUUGUUAUAUUUCUGUGAUUUAUUAUGUUUUUUUAAUAAACGCUAAAGAAAUGUGUCUUUUAUUGGGGGGCAAAUAAAAGUUCAAUAAAUUA